CCGCCGAUCGCGGGCAGCUUGCUCAGGCUGAAUGACACAGGCAAUGAUAAAUUGGAUUAACGGGAAAUCGUCUCCUGUUCCAGCUGCACGCCUUAACUAUUCCCGGUGCGGUUUAGCAGAUAUUACUAUAUGAGAUGUUGGUGCUGUCCUGCCGUUAUUUCAGGUAGUGUCGGGCGGUGGGCAGCUACAUUUUCCCCAAAGGGUGUCUUAUUGCCAUGGCAGUGGCGCUUUGUAGCACAGGUCCUUCUCGCACUGGCAGCUACUGGACGGCGCGGUGCUGAGGACUCGGCUCUGAUGUGAAGGCAAGCGGGGACGGAUACAUUCAGAUGCUGCCAACUUAGUUUGGCAGAGCUGGCCGGAGACAAGAGAAAACAUGAAGGUGCGAAAGGGAAAAUACGGGGGCAGAUACAGAGAGGCUGGAAGAUUGAGGCUGACAGAGACAGAGAGCAGAAAACAAGCAGCGGCAUGAGACUCGGCGUGUUUAGUACAGGGAACGAGGCGAGAACGGCGAUGCUUGUGGGGAAAAGGAGCCUGUAACGGGAGCAAAGCGUGUGAAGGAGACGGAGCAGGAGACUCAGAAAGACCGGAUGCAUGAUGGAGAGGAAGGGGGCUCCAGGGAAAGAGGAACUGCAGGGAAUGUAGCGAAAUCAAUGGAGAGGUGUUCUCAAAGCGUUAUUCAAUAAACACACAACACCUUUGUUAAAAGUAUGACUCUUAAGCUUAUUAUUUUGUUAUCAUUAUUAUAAUCAUUAUAACCUUUGUUAUCAUUUUUC